rnacentral:rRNA from 1 species
AGAGUUUGAUCAUGGCUCAGGAUGAACGCUGGCGGCGUGCCUAAUACAUGCAAGUCGAACGAGAUGUAGCAAUACAUCUAGUGGCGAACGGGUGAGUAACACGUGGGCAACCUGCCUAUAGGUGGGGGAUAACCGAGGGAAACCUUGGCUAAUACCGCAUGGUGAGUACUAAGGCAUCUUAGUACAAUAAAAGAUCCAAAUGGAUCGCCUAUAGAUGGGCCUGCGGCGCAUUAACUAGUUGGUAGGGUAACGGCCUACCAAGGUGACGAUGCGUAGCCGACCUGAGAGGGUGACCGGCCACAUUGGGACUGAGACACGGCCCAAACUCCUACGGGAGGCAGCAGUAGGGAAUUUUCGGCAAUGGGGGAAACCCUGACCGAGCGACGCCGCGUGAACGAAGAAGGUCUUCGGAUCGUAAAGUUCUGUUACAAGGGAAGAACGACAGUAAGAGUGGAAAGCUUACUGUGUGACGGUACCUUGUGAGAAAGCCACGGCUAACUACGUGCCAGCAGCCGCGGUAAUACGUAGGUGGCGAGCGUUAUCCGGAAUUAUUGGGCGUAAAGAGUGAGCAGGCGGCAGUCAGAGUCUGGAGUUAAAACGUGUGGCUCAACCAUACGUUGCUUUGGAAACUAGACAGCUAGAGUGCAGGAGAGGUUAGCGGAAUUCCAUGUGUAGCGGUAAAAUGCGUAGAUAUAUGGAGGAACACCAGUGGCGAAGGCGGCUAACUGGCCUGUAACUGACGCUCAGUCACGAAAGCGUGGGGAGCAAAUAGGAUUAGAUACCCUAGUAGUCCACGCCGUAAACGAUGAGUACUAAGUGUUGGGAAACCAGUGCUGAAGUUAACGCAUUAGUACUCCGCCUGAGAAGUACGUUCGCAAGAAUGAAACUCAAGGAAUUGACGG